rnacentral:tRNA from 1 species
GCUGUAGUAGCUCAGUGCCAGAACGCCGGUCUUGUAAACCGGACGCCGGAGGCUAAAAUCCUCCCUACCGCU